rnacentral:rRNA from 1 species
GAUGAACGCUGGCGGCGUGCCUAAUACAUGCAAGUCGAGCGAAUGGAUUAAGAGCUUGCUCUUAUGAAGUUAGCGGCGGACGGGUGAGUAACACGUGGGUAACCUGCCCAUAAGAUUGGGAUAACUCCGGGAAACCGGGGCUAAUACCGGAUAAUAUUUUGAACUGCAUGGUUCAAAAUUGAAAGGCGGCUUCGGCUGUCAAUUAUGGAUUGACCCGCGUCGCAUUAGCUAGUUGGUGAGGUAACGGCUCACCAAGGCAACGAUGCGUAGCCGACCUGAGAGGGUGAUCGGCCACACUGGGACUGAGACACGGCCCAGACUCCUACGGGAGGCAGCAGUAGGGAAUCUUCCGCAAUGGACGAAAGUCUGACGGAGCAACGCCGCGUGAGUGAUGAAGGCUUUCGGGUCGUAAAACUCUGUUGUUAGGGAAGAACAAGUGCUAGUUGAAUAAGCUGGCACCUUGACGGUACCUAACCAGAAAGCCACGGCUAACUACGUGCCAGCCGCCGCGGUAA